GAUUUUAUAUAAAUAUAAAAUAUUUUAAAGUAGGAUAAAGAAAAUAAAGAUGACAGAACAAAAUUCUGGUUUAGGACCCAUUCCAUCAUUGGUCUCUGGUCUCUUCAGCAAAGAUGAGGUUAGGCUCAGUGUCAAAGGAUUUCCAUUCAACCCUCAAUAACACUGGAGCCCUUGAUAUAUCCUUUAAUCUUGCUUAUGAGAUUAAACUCAAUUUUCGUAAUCUCAUUCUCCACUUUUAAUAAUGGUUCUGACUCUAUUUUCUGCAACUUGUCUAGCAAUGAGGCCUUUACUCAAAGCUCUGCUUUUGAUCUUGCCCUUCAAUCUUGUUUUCAUCUACUUUAUCAGGGUUAUUUGGCUUGCAAGAAACAAUCUUUAGCAAGGAUUUCAAUUAUGCCAUCCCUCAAAGAGCUAUCUUCUUGGCCGUGGAGUUCUUCGCCCUUACAUGCAAAUUAGGACUUCCCCAACUUACUUUUAUCCCUGUUAAAAGACAUUCCCCCAACAAGGAUGGUUCAAGCUGGUGUUGGGGCUAUCAUUCGCGAUCAUAACGGUAUUUGGGUGAUUGUUUCUCAUAGACCUAUUGGCCAUACUACCAACACGAUUGCUAACCUUCCCUCUGGCUAAAAAAUUCCAAAUAUCCCACCUGGUGAUCCAGCUAACCUUCUCUUAAUCUCCCUUUCUCAUAAAUUUAUGCUUAAUCCUUUGGUCUCUCAUUUGGAGACUGCGUUGAAUUAUCUCCACCAUAAAUAGGUGCUUCAUACCUUUCGUGAAUGAAAUAGGUGUGUCGACGCCCUUGCAUAAAAAGGCAACAGCGCUCCUAUUGGUUCUGGACACGCCACCAACACGGUUGCUAAACUCUGGGCAAUCAUUUUUAUGGCUUCAGAGAUUCUUGAUGGAAUCUUGUUCAAAUUAACUUACAACUCAACACCUCUUAGGUCAGUUCCGCCCGUAAACACACCCAAAUCUCCAACUCCUUUCCUAAACCCAUUGACCUAAAGCCUAACCUUACUGACCCUAAAAUUUAACCCAUUUUCCUAAGCUCUGAAGUUUAAAUUCCAAAUAGUUUCCUCCAUCCUAUCGAUAAUGCCCAAGCGUGUAUUAAAAAGUUGUUCAAAUAACCAUCUAAUGUGGCAUGAUGAUAGUUCAAUUCGUUCCUUAAUUAUG
rnacentral:lncRNA from 1 species